rnacentral:rRNA from 1 species
AUGGCAGGGAUGAACCUGCAUAGAAUCGCCUCUGCCCUUGUUCGAUUCAUUGGAUGGGAGAUCCGUCGAUCUGCCAGACGCCACAAUGCUGGUGUUCCUCGCCAUUGGGGCCCAGGCAACGGCCGCCGUGGUCGCCGUGGUCGUCAGGAUCACCCUGGCCCCGCUGCCGCAGAGCAGGCAGGACCAAGCAACCCAUCUGCCGCCGUCCAACACGCCUACCAGGAACCCCCGAUGCCGGCCUUCGUCGCUCCACCAAUGGACUGGGCUCCCGCCGAGGCUGCAGCGCUGUUCCUAGGCGAGGAGGAGUUCUUCGACGCCGCCUAG